rnacentral:snRNA from 1 species
CGCAAAUUUGUGAAGCGUUCCAUAUUU